rnacentral:rRNA from 1 species
GUGUCAGCCGCCGCGGUAAUACGUAGGGUCCAAGCGUUAAUCGGAAUUACUGGGCGUAAAGCGUGCGCAGGCGGUUGUGCAAGACCGAUGUGAAAUCCCCGGGCUUAACCUGGGAAUUGCAUUGGUGACUGCACGGCUAGAGUGUGUCAGAGGGGGGUAGAAUUCCACGUGUAGCAGUGAAAUGCGUAGAGAUGUGGAGGAAUACCGAUGGCGAAGGCAACCCCCUGGGAUAACACUGACGCUCAUGCACGAAAGCGUGGGGAGCAAACAGGAUUAGAAACCCGCGUAGUCC